rnacentral:tRNA from 1 species
GGUGGCUCAGUGGUAGAGUGCUUGCCUCGCAUGCAUGAGGUCCUGGGUUCGAUUCCUUUAGCACCA